AUCCAGGCCCAUGCGAAUUGGACCAGCAGCUAACAAAAAUACUUCUGGUGGUGGUCAGCAAUUUGCAAAAACUUCAUAUCAGAAUCCUCAAGGGGCUCAGAAUGAGAAUGAUCCAAACAAUACGACUAUAUUUGUGGGUAAUUUGGAUGCUAAUGUCACAGACGAUCACUUGAGACAAGUAUUUGGUCAAUAUGGGGAGUUGGUGCAUGUAAAGAUACCUG
rnacentral:misc_RNA from 1 species